rnacentral:misc_RNA from 1 species
CCGAGUUUACAACUCCCAAACCCAAUGUGAACGUUACCAAACUGUUGCCUCGGCGGGAUCUCUGCCCCGGGUGCGUCGCAGCCCCGGACCAAGGCGCCCGCCGGAGGACCAACCAAAACUCUCAUGUUUACCAUAGCGGAAUUUCUUCUGAGUGGCCCUUUGCGGCAAACAAAUGAAUCA